rnacentral:rRNA from 1 species
CCCUUAGACGUUCUGGGCCGCACGCGCGCUACACUGACCAGUGCAACAAGCAUCCGUCUUUGGCCGACAGGCCCGGGCAAUCUUUGAACGCUGGUCGUGAUGGGGAUAGACUUUUGCAAUUUUUGGUCUUCAACGAGGAAUUCCUAGUAAACGCAAGUCAUCAACUUGCAUUGAUUACGUCCCUGCCCUUUGUACACACCGCCCGUCGCACCUACCGAUUGAAUGGUCCGGUGAAGCCUCCGGAUUGGCGCGCACCUCGGUGCCGCCGAGAAGUUGGCUAAACCUUACCAUUUAGAGGAAGGUGAAGUCGUAACA